rnacentral:lncRNA from 1 species
GGAACAGCUGCGUAACGGUUCACUCACUGAUGGCGCCUGGAGGUUUGGCGAAAUACUGACAGGAUGCGACGUCAACGGGAGCGCAGGGCCAAGAUACCCUUUAUAUCAAACCGUCUAUCCUGGAGCAGAAAAAUCCUGUCUUCAUUGCUAUAGCUACAGAUUCAGAAAUGAGCAUGUAACAAAUUCAGGCCAAAGAGAGAUUAAGCCCCGAAAAACAUCUUGCAUCCCAAACUCCAUCUGAGCAUCUACUUCUAGAG